rnacentral:rRNA from 1 species
GUUGAACGCUGGCGGCAGGCUUAACACAUGUAAGUCGAGCGGAGCGGCAGACGGGUGAGUAAUGCCUAGGAAUCUGCCUGCUAGUGGGGGAUAACGUCCGGAAACGGGCGCUAAUACCGCAUACUAUCGGAUGAGCCUAGGUCGGAUUAGCUAGUUGGUGGGGUAAAGGCCUACCAAGGCGACGAUCCGUAACUGGGCUGAGAGGCUGAUCAGUCACACUGGAACUGAGACACGGUCCAAACUCCUACGGGAGGCAGCAGUGGGGAAUAUUGGACAAUGGGCGAAAGCCUGACCCAGCCAUGCCGCGUGUGUUAAGAAGGCCUUCGGAUUGUAAAGCCCUUUAAGUGGGGAUGCGUUACCAACAGAAUAAGCACCGGCUAACUUCGUGCCAGCAGCCGCGGUAAUAC